GACGAACGCUGGCAGCGUGCCUAAUACAUGCAAGUCGAACGCACUCUCGUUUAGAUUGAAGGAGCUUGCUCCUGAUUGAUAAACAUUUGAGUGAGUGGCGGACGGGUGAGUAACGCGUGGGUAACCUGCCCUAAAGUGGGGGAUAACAUUUGGAAACAGAUGUUAAUACCGCAUAAAACCUAACACCGCAUGGUGUAGGGUUGAAAGAUGGUUUCGGCUAUCACUUUAGGAUGGACCCGCGGUGCAUUAGUUAGUUGGUGAGGUAAAGGCUCACCAAGACCGUGAUGCAUAGCCGACCUGAGAGGGUAAUCGGCCACACUGGGACUGAGACACGGCCCAGACUCCUACGGGAGGCAGCAGUAGGGAAUCUUCCACAAUGGACGAAAGUCUGAUGGAGCAACGCCGCGUGAGUGAAGAAGGUUUUCGG
rnacentral:rRNA from 1 species